rnacentral:rRNA from 1 species
UUUCCUACGGGGCGCAGCAGUGAGGAAUAUUGGUCAAUGGCCGCAGGGCUGAACCAGCCAAGUCGCGUGAGGGAUGACGGUCCUAUGGAUUGUAAACCUCUUUUGUCGGGGAGCAAAAGACGCCACGUGUGGCGUUCCGAGAGUACCCGAAGAAAAAGCAUCGGCUAACUCCGUGCCAGCAGCCGCGGUAAUACGGAGGAUGCGAGCGUUAUCCGGAUUUAUUGGGUUUAAAGGGUGCGCAGGCGGAAGAUCAAGUCAGCGGUAAAAUUGUG